CAGCCGCCGCGGUAAUACCGGCAGCUCGAGUGAUGACCACUUUUAUUGGGCCUAAAGCGUCCGUAGCCUGCUAGACAGGUCCGUCGGGAAAUCCACCCGCUCAACGGGUGGGCGUCCGAUGGAAACCAGCUAGCUUGGGACCGAGCGACCUGAGGGGUACGUCUGGGGUAGGAGUGAAAUCCCGUAAUCCCGGACGGACCACCGGUGGCGAAAGCGCCUCAGGAGAGCGGAUCCGACGGUGAGGGACGAAAGCUAGGGUCUCGAACCGGAUUAGAUACCCGGGUAGUCCUAGCCGUAAACGAUGCUCGCUAGGUGUGGCGCUGGCUACGAGCCAGCGCUGUGCCGUAGGGAAGCCGUGAAGCGAGCCGCCUGGGAAGUACGUCCGCAAGGAUGAAACUUAAAGGAAUUGGCGGGGGAGCACUACAACCGGAGGAGCCUGCGGUUUAAUUGGACUCAACGCCGGACAUCUCACCGGCACCGACUGUAGUAAUGACGGCCAGGUUGAUGACCUUGCCACGAGCUACAGAGAGGAGGUGCAUGGCCGCCGUCAGCUCGUACCGUGAGGCGUCCUGUUAAGUCAGGCAACGAGCGAGACCCGUGUCCCUAAUUGCCAGCAACGUCGCGAGACGGUUGGGUACAUUAAGGAGACUGCCGUUGCUAAAACGGAGGAAGGAACGGGCAACGGUAGGUCAGUAUGCCCCGAAUGUGCCGGGCUACACGCGGGCUACAAUGGCCGAGACAGUGGGAUGCGACACCGAAAGGUGGAGCUAAUCUCCGAAACUCGGUCGUAGUUCGGAUUGCGGGUUGAAAC
rnacentral:rRNA from 1 species